AUUGAACGCUGGCGGCAUGCUUUACACAUGCAAGUCGAACGGUAACAGGCCGCAAGGUGCUGACGAGUGGCGAACGGGUGAGUAAUGCAUCGGAACGUGCCCAGUCGUGGAGGAUAACGCAGCGAAAGCUGCGCUAAUACCGCAUACGAUCUAUGGAUGAAAGCGGGGGACCGUAAGGCCUCGCGCGAUUGGAGGGGCCGAUGUCAGAUUAGGUAGUUGGUGGGGUAAAGGCUCACCAAGCCAACGAUCUGUAGCUGGUCUGAGAGGACGACCAGCCACACUGGGACUGAGACACGGCCCAGACUCCUACGGGAGGCAGCAGUGGGGAAUUUUGGACAAUGGGCGCAAGCCUGAUCCAGCCAUGCCGCGUGAGUGAAGAAGGCCUUCGGGUUGUAAAGCUCUUUCGGCCGGAACGAAAUCGUCCGGGUUAAUACCUCGGAUGGAUGACGGUACUGGAAGAAGAAGCACCGGCUAACUACGUGCCAGCCGCCGCAGUAACAC
rnacentral:rRNA from 1 species